GUGGAUUUAACGAUGUGAAAUUUCACUUUAGGCC
rnacentral:tRNA from 1 species